rnacentral:rRNA from 1 species
UUCCGGUUGAUCCUGCCGGACCCGACUGCUAUCGGAGUGGGACUAAGCCAUGCGAGUCGAACGCCCCGGGCUGGCGGGGCGUGGCGUACGGCUCAGUAACACGUUGCCAANCUGCCCUGCGGACGGCUAUAACCCCGGGAAACUGGGGCUAAUAGCCGAUANGGGAUAGGCGCUGGAANGGCCUAUCCCCGAAAGGGCUACACACCCAUGCCGUGUGUAGCCUGCCGCAGGAUGGGGNUGCGCCCUAUAAGGUAGUAGGCGGGGUAACGGCCCACCUAGCCUAUAANGGGUGCGNGNCCUGNGAGGGGGAGCCCGGAGAUGGGCACUGAGACAAGGGCCCAGGCCCUACGGGGCGCAGCAGGCGCGAAACNUNCGUUAUGCGCGAAAGCGCGACGGNNUCACUCCGAGUGCUGCCUACUGUAGGCAGCUUUUGCACAGUCCAAAACGCUGGCGAAUAAGCGAUGGGCAACUGGUGUCAGCCGCCGCGGUAAUACCAGCUCUCCGAGUGGUGGGGUCAGAUUACUUGGGCCUAAAGCGUCCGUAGCCGGCCUGUGCAAGUCUCCCGUUAAAUCCAGCGAUCCAAUCGUUGGACUGCGGGGGAUACUGUCAGGCUAGGGGCGUGGAGAGGCCGGCGGUAUUCCCGGGGUAGGGGUGAAAUCCUAUAAUCCCGGGAGGACCACCAGUGGCGAAGGCUGCACGGCUGGGAACGCGCCCGACGGUGAGGGAUGAAAGCCGGGGGA